rnacentral:rRNA from 1 species
UAGCGUAGGGGGCAAGCGUUGUCCGGAAUCAUUGGGCGUAAAGAGCGUGUAGGCGGCCCGAUAAGUCCGCCGUGAAAGUCCAGGGCUCAACCCUGGAAUGCCGGUGGAAACUGUCGGGCUCGAGUCCGGAAGAGCGAGUGGAAUUCCUGGUGUAGCGGUGAAAUGCGCAGAUAUCAGGAGGAACACCAAUGGCGAAGGCAGCUCGCUGGGACGGUACUGACGCUGAGACGCGAAAGCGUGGGGAGCAAACAGG